UACGUAGGGGGCAAGCGUUGUCCGGAAUCAUUGGGCGUAAAGAGCGUGUAGGCGGCCCGGUAAGUCCGCUGUAAAAGUCAAAGGCUCAACCUUUGAAUGUCAGUGGAUACUGCCGGGCUAGAGUCCGGAAGAGGCGAGUGGAACUCCUGGUGUAGCGGUGGAAUGCGCAGAUAUCAGGAAGAACACCAACGGCGAAGGCAGCUCGCUGGGACGGUACUGACGCUGAGACGCGAAAAGCGUGGGGGAGGCGAACAGG
rnacentral:rRNA from 1 species